AAAAAUUCAUCAUAUCAAAACCACUAUAUAUAUAUUGUCCCAUGAAUGCAACAGAUCAGAAGUGACUCCGACAAGACUUGAGUUCGAGGGUGACUCACAUUACAGCUGCAGGUCCACGGCCACAUUUAAAGGAAGAUCAUCCAAAUACACUAUGAUCUACGGAUUCUUGACCACGGUCCUGCUUGUGCUGGUACUUAACGACUCGGGGACUCAGGGAAUACCGACUAAAGUCUGCACCUCUUCUUCUCGAUCCUCCUCCAACGGAAUAUGUGGCGGCGCUUUGUAUGACGCGAUACACGCCGUCUGUGACAUCUAUUACCCUAGAAACCGGAGAGACGUCAUGUCAGAUUCAGUUGACCCAUUAGCGGAUAUCACCCUCUCAAAACCGAACGCCUUGUCGUAUUUGACCAAGAGAGAGCACAGUGUCUCGAACGUGGUAUGUGAGUGUUGUCUAAACCAAUGCAGUCUCAGGGAGAUGUUGGAUUACUGCCCAACAAUUCGCGGCAAAUAAAGACAGAAGCUCUUAGUACUAAUUACUCCCAAGACAAUCUUUAUUUCUGUUAAAUAAAUGAUAGCACCAUAAGGACCAAGCUUAGUUAAGUCAUUUGACAACAAUAUUAAUAUGAUAUUUUUUGUGCUUAUUAGCUUCUUAGUCAAGGCAGCGAUGUAGAUUAGAUUAGAUUAUCUGAAUAUUUCGUAGACAAUGUCUUUUAUGUAAAAAAAGAAAAAAAAAUUGUGACCCGACUUAAUUUGUACAUUUAAUUCAAGUUUAACACUGCUUCCAGGCUUCACAAUUUUUACUAGUAUAUUUCUAUUUGGUUUGAUGUACAUCUUUUACUAGGAAAUUAAGGGAGUGUAUGGAUUACAUUUUUUAAAUAGAAACUUAUGUUAAAACUGAAACAAAUUAUAUCUACAUCUAAAUAUAGUAACAUUAACUCAUUCUGUUCAGUUUUAGUGUAAACCUAAAUGUCAAUAAAAUAUUUAUUGAAGCUGC
rnacentral:sRNA from 1 species